rnacentral:rRNA from 1 species
GCAAGAUACCACGGGCGCACGGCGGAUGCCUUGGCACAGGGAGCCGAUGAAGGACGCGGCAAGCUGCGAUAAUCCCCGGCGAGGAGCACACAUCCUUCGACCCGGGGGUCUCCGAAUGGGCGAACCCAUCCACAGAGGUGUGGAUAUCCCCACCCCGAACACAUAGGGGCGGGGAGGACAACCCGGGGAACUGAAACAUCUAAGUACCCGGAGGAGAGGAAAUCAAUCUCGAGACUCCCCGAGUAGCGGCGAGCGAAAGGGGACCGAUGGCCAAACCGUCGAGCGGGCGUACCCGGCAGGGGUUCCGCCGGCGGGGUUGCAGGGCCGCGCAUCCGGGGGCUGCCGCCCCCGGGCGCAGGUCCGGCUGGGGAGCGGAACGGCAUGGGAGGGCCGGCCGCAGCGGGUGACAGCCCCGUACGCGAACCCAGACCGGACGGCGCGACGCGGUCCCUGAGUAGGGCCGGGCACGUGAAACCCGGUCCGAACCUGGGUGGACCACCAUCCAAGCCUGAGUACUACCCUGUGACCGAUAGCGCACCAGUACCGUGAGGGAAAGGUGAAAAGCACCCCGGGAGGGGAGUGAAACAGUACCUGAAACCGUGCGCCCACGAGCAGUCGGAGCACCCUUGUGGUGUGACGGCGUGCCUUUUGUAGAAUGAGCCAGCGAGUCGCUGGCGCGGGGCGAGGUUAACCGAAAGGGAGCCGGAGCGAAAGCGAGCCUUAACAGGGCGACUUGAGUCCCGCGCCGCGGACGCGAAGCCGGGUGAGCUAUCCGUGGGCAGGCUGAAGCGGGGGUAAGACCCCGUGGAGGGCCGAACGCACGUCGGUUGAAAACGGCGGCGAUGACCUGCGGAUAGGGGUGAAAGGCCAAUCAAACCCGGAGAUAUCUCGUUCUCCCCGAAAUAGCUUUAGGGCUAGCGUCGCGCGUUCACCGCCGGAGGUAGAGCACCGGAUGGACGAGGGGGCUUCGCCGCCUACCGAAUCCAACCGAACUCCGAAUGCCGGCGGCCCAGAGCGCGGCAGUCAGAGCAUGUGGGCUAAGCUGUGUGCUCGAGAGGGAAACAGCCCGGACCGCCCGCUAAGGUCCCCAAGUUCCAGCCGAGUGGCAAAGGAUGUGCGUCCGCCCAGACAACCAGGAUGUUGGCUUAGAAGCAGCCAUGCAUUCAAAGAGUGCGUAACAGCUCACUGGUCGAGUGGACAUGCGCCGACAAUACACGGGGCUAAGCUGGACACCGAAGCGGCGGGAUUUUAUCUAUAUAGAAUCGGUAGGGGAGCUUCCCAUGGGCGGUGAAGCCGCCGGGCGACCGGCGGUGGAGCGCAUGGGAGUGAGAAUGCUGGCAUGAGUAGCGAGAGACGAGAGAGUAACUCGUCCGCCGUGAACCCGAGGUUUCCUGGGCAAGGCUAAUCCUCCCAGGGUCAGUCGGGGGCUAAGGCGAGGCCGGUAGGCGUAGCCGACGCGCAGCAGGCAGACAUUCCUGCACCGCGCACGCGGCGCUACGACCGACGGGGCGACGGAUGGGGGUGGCUCGGCGGGGUUCUGGACGUCCCCGUGAUGGAGCGCGGCCCGCGGACCAGGGAAAUCCGGUCCGCAGAAGGGCGAGGCUCCGGACGAAGCGAUCAAGCGAAGCGAGUGAGCCCGAGGUCCCUAGAAAAACCCCUAGGCAGGCGCGUGCGCGCCCGUACCGCAAACCGACACAGGUGGGUGGGUAGAACAUACCGAGGCGAUCGGGUCAACCAUGGUCAAGGAACUCGGCACAAUGGCCCCGUAACUUCGGGAGAAGGGGUGCCCGCGCGUACGUGAACGGACUUGCUCCGGGAGCGGAGGCGGGCCGCAGUGGAGAGGCCCAAGCGACUGUUUACCAAAAACACAGGACUCUGCAGAAGCCGCAAGGCGACGUAUAGGGUCUGACGCCUGCCCGGUGCCGGAAGGUCACGCGGAGGAGUUAGCCGCAAGGCGAAGCCCCGAAGCCAAGCCCCGGUAAACGGCGGCCGUAACUAUAACGGUCCUAAGGUAGCGAAAUUCCUUGUCGGGUAAGUUCCGACCUGCACGAAAGGCGCAACGACUUGGGCGCUGUCUCGACCAUGGACCCGGUGAAAUUGCACUGGUCGUGAAGAUGCGACUUACCCGCGGAAGGACGGAGAGACCCCGUGAACCUUCACUGCAGCUUGGCAUUGGCCGCUGGUCCCGCGUGUAGAGGAUAGGCAGGAGGCACAGAUCCGGAGGCGCCAGCCCCCGGGGAGCCGCCCUUGGAAUACUGCCCUCGCGCGACCGGCGUCCUAACCCGAGGCCGUCAACCGGCUCGGGGACCGUGCCAGGCGGGCAGUUUGACUGGGGCGGUCGCCUCCUAAAGGGUAACGGAGGCGCGCGAAGGUCCGCUCGGGACGGUCGGCAACCGUCCUUUUGAAUGCAAGAGUACAAGCGGGCUUGACUGCGAGGCCCACAAGCCGAGCAGGUGCGAAAGCAGGCUCUAGUGAUCCGGCGGCCCCGAGUGGGUGGGCCGUCGCUCAACGGAUAAAAGGUACUCCGGGGAUAACAGGCUGAUCUUGCCCAAGAGUCCACAUCGACGGCAAGGUUUGGCACCUCGAUGUCGGCUCAUCGCAUCCUGGGGCUGGAGCAGGUCCCA